rnacentral:rRNA from 1 species
AUCUUCUUUGAAGGUAUGCUUAAGGAGGGGCUUGCGACACAUUAGUUAGUUGGCAGGGUAAAGGCCUACCAAGACUAUGAUGUGUAGCUGGACUGAGAGGUUGAACAGCCACAUUGGGACUGAGACACGGCCCAAACUCCUACGGGAGGCAGCAGUAGGGAAUUUUCGGCAAUGGAGGAAACUCUGACCGAGCAACGCCGCGUGAACGAUGAAGUACCUCGGUAUGUAAAGUUCUUUUAUUAAGGAAGAAAAAAGAGUGGAAAAACUCCCUUGACGGUACUUAAUGAAUAAGCCCCGGCUAAUUAUGUGCCAGCAGCCGCGGUAAUACAUAAGGGGCGAGCGUUAUCCGGAAUUAUUGGGCGUAAAGGGUGCGUAGGCGGUUUAAUAAGUCUAUAGUUUAAUUUCAGUGCUUAACGCUGUUGUGCUAUAGAAACUGUUUUACUAGAGUGAGAUAGAGGCAAGCGGAAUUCCAUGUGUAGCGGUAAAAUGCGUAAAUAUAUGGAGGAACACCAGAGGCGUAGGCGGCUUGCUGGGUCUUUACUGACGCUGAGGCACGAAAGCGUGGGGAGCAAACAGGAUUAGAUACCCUGGUAGUCCACGCCGUAAACGAUGAGUACUAAGUGUCGGGUAAAACUGGUACUGAAGUUAACACAUUAAGUACUCCGCCUGAGUAGUACGUACGCAAGUAUGAAACUUAAAGGAAUUGACGGGACUCCGCACAAGCGGUGGAUCAUGUUGUUUAAUUCGAAGAUACACGAAAAACCUUACCAGG